GUGUCUCGUCUUCGUGUGGAUUUAUUCCCAUUUGUGUAUCCGGUUUGUCUCCGUCACACAGCAUUCACCCACAAGCACCUGGAUCUGCCACCGUAGCCUUUGUCUGUCCUUGGACUGCCCAUCAUAUCAUCUGUUUCAUAUUCAUUAAUAAACUGUUAACCUUUCACCUGCAUUUGCCUCCUAUCUUUUAUACCUGUCGUCACAUAUUUCACCAGAGGACUAAGAUAAAACAACUCGAUUUAAAAUGUGAGCAGUUUUAGUGGAUCUGACGUCGAGGGAAAAAGUAUUUCGCUUUUUGUUUGGAGAUGAAUGAGACAACACGAGGCACAGCGACAUAAAUAGGACCAACCAGAGCCAAGUAGACAGGAACAAAUGAAGAUACAGCCCAUAGAAAUACUUAUUCUUGGUGAUCAAUUGCUAUUGACAUUUUUGAAUCGGGACAAAUGAAGAGUUUCAUUGCAAAACGAGAUAACCACCGUUUUUUAAUUGUUCAGAAUUCUUGUUUUUUGGUUGUGCAUUUCAAUUAAUUUCAAUGCAACUGCAGUUGGUUUGUUUUGAUUUAAACCUUCAUACCUUAAAACAU